rnacentral:rRNA from 1 species
UACGAAGGGGGCUAGCGUUGCUCGGAAUCACUGGGCGUAAAGGGUGCGUAGGCGGGUCUUUAAGUCAGGGGUGAAAUCCUGGAGCUCAACUCCAGAACUGCCUUUGAUACUGAAGAUCUUGAGUUCGGGAGAGGUGAGUGGAACUGCGAGUGUAGAGGUGAAAUUCGUAGAUAUUCGCAAGAACACCAGUGGCGAAGGCGGCUCACUGGCCCGGUACUGACGCUGAGGAGCGAAAGCGUGGGAGCAACAGGG